GUAGCUUAGGAAUAGUAAAGUGACGGUUUUGCCCCCGCUUAAGUGAUGGUCUGCUUUCUUGAGUUGACUUAUGAGCAGUGAAUUAGCCGUUUUGCCCUCCAGCUCUGUUCUCUUCUCUUCGUUAGAGUCGCUGAGGGAUGGAAAACCUCUUCUCCUUCAUCGCAACCCUCUCUCUCCUCUCUUCCUUUCUCUCCUCCGCUGCGAGCGUUUUGUUCGCUCUGAAAUUUUGUUCAUCGUUCUCAUUGUUCUUUGUUUAGGUUCUUCGAUGUCCAUAUGGAGGCUUCUACUUUUUUACGGAGCCAUCUGCUUUUCCUUUUGCUUUUCAGGUUCAACAAAUUCCUCUUUGUUUCAGCCUUUCUCUCUCUUCUUUUCCAGUAAAUGACUUGGUUAUUUAGUUUCUGCUCUUCCCGUUUGCUCUCCUGUCCUUCGAUUGUAACGACUUGGAGCCUUCGUUGUAUCAGAUGCUGAGUUUGGUUGGCCUGAUUGCGGGGCAAUGAUGGAAGAGGUCGGUCUACUGUUGGAGAUUAUUUGGAGGCUUCGACUUUAUAGGAGUGGCGUGUGUUGGUCUUCUUCUUCAGAUCGAACUCCAGCUUUCUCUCUGUUUCAGUCUCUUCCUCUCACUGAUCUCUGCUAGGGACUGGAAUGGAUACGCAGGAUACAUCUCCUUCGGUGUUGCUAUUCUUUGACAAUGUUGAAGAGGUGGUCUUUCGUUGCUUUGGAUAGAGCGGUUUGGUUGGUGUUUUCAGUUCUGUUAAGCAAUGGGCAAUUUUAAAACUCACAACAUCGCGCAGGCACCUUUUGCUAGUGUAAUCUUAAAGCUUCUUGAAACAGGUGAAGUGGAGGCUCUGUUACCUGUGGUUUUCCUGGAUUGUCAAUUGCAAUUUCUAAUUUAUGCACACUUUAUGUACUAAUGUAGAUGCAGAAAUGGCAACAAGCGUACCGAAGCGAGCAUCCAGAGAUGCACCUCCUAGCCUGAGCGAGUGAUGCUUCAGGAUCAGCGACUUCUUUUUCUCAAUAUUCAGCUAACCAACUGCUUCCCUCCAGAUUCAAAGGUGGAGGUGCGAUCAUAGUAAAUCUUGUAUUCUUUUGUAACGUCGAACUAUUGUUUAUCAGCAAUGUCCAGAAAAUGUAAACUACGACAACCAUUAUACUUAAAGAGUGUAACAAAAGAACAGCACAGGCGUGAUUUUUGAGAUUAUAUUGGGCAACAAUAUCUAUUGGAAAUUUGAAGGUGCGGUUUUACGCAACAGAUA